rnacentral:rRNA from 1 species
AUUGAACGCUGGCGGCAUGCCUUACACAUGCAAGUCGAACGGUAACAGGUCUUCGGAUGCUGACGAGUGGCGAACGGGUGAGUAAUACAUCGGAACGUGCCUAGUAGUGGGGGAUAACUACUCGAAAGAGUGGCUAAUACCGCAUGAGAUCUACGGAUGAAAGCAGGGGAUCGCAAGACCUUGCGCUACUAGAGCGGGCGAUGGCAGAUUAGGUAGUUGGUGGGAUAAGAGCUUACCAAGCCGACGAUCUGUGGCUGGUCUGAGAGGACGAUCAGCCACACUGGGACUGAGACACGGCCCAGACUCCUACGGGAGGCAGCAGUGGGGAAUUUUGGACAAUGGGCGCAAGCCUGAUCCAGCAAUGCCGCGUGCAGGAUGAAGGCCUUCGGGUUGUAAACUGCUUUUGUACGGAACGAAAAGCCCUGGGUUAAUACCCUGGGGUCAUGACGGUACCAUAAGAAUAAGCACCGGCUAACUACGUGCCAGCAGCCGCAGUAACAC